rnacentral:rRNA from 1 species
UGGGGAAUAUUGGACAAUGGGCGCAAGCCUGAUCCAGCAAUGCCGCGUGUGUGAAGAAGGCCUGCGGGUUGUAAAGCACUUUUGGCGGGGAAGAAGGGAUGCGGUGGAAUAUACCGUGUCAUUGACGUUACCCGCAGAAUAAGCACCGGCUAACUCUGUGCCAGCAGCCGCGGUAAUACAGAGGGUGCAAGCGUUAAUCGGAAUUACUGGGCGUAAAGGGUGCGUAGGUGGUGAAGUAAGUUAGGUGUGAAAGCCCUGGGCUCAACCUGGGAAUUGCGCUUAAUACUGUUUCACUAGAGUACUGUAGAGGAAAGUGGAAUUUCCGGUGUAGCGGUGAAAUGCGUAGAUAUCGGAAGGAACACCAGUGGCGAAGGCGACUUUCUGGACAGAUACUGACACUGAGGCACGAAAGCAUGGGGAGCAAACAGG